rnacentral:rRNA from 1 species
UACGUAGGGUGCAAGCGUUAUCCGGAUUCACUGGGUUUAAAGGGUGCGUAGGUGGGUUGGUAAGUCAGUGGUGAAUCUCCAGGCUUAACUUGGAAACUGCCAUCGAUACUAUCAAUCUUGAAUACCGUGGAGGUCAGCGGAAUAUGUCAUGUAGCGGUGAAAUGCUUAGAUAUGACACAGAACACCAAUUGCGAAGGCAGCUGGCUACACGAAUAUUGACACUGAUGCACGAAAGCGUGGGGGAUCAAAACAG